CGCCUCUUACCCUUUAUCUGAGAUACCGGCGGAUUUUGCCAGCCUCCUCGAAUUCUUCUUACCUUUUGUCCUGCGUUGCACGCCGGGGAAAGGAAUUCUGGGAUCGUGUGUUAUGCUGAUGCAAAAUGUUUUUAAGAAGUAAAGAAGUUGUAAAACAAUGGAUACAAGUGUAUAUUUAUAAUACAAGAAAUGACGAUUCUGAAAAAGAAGCUGAUGACCAGAAUAAGGGAUAGGAAGAUGACCUGUUUGCUUGAAGAGCGAGGGAGAGUAAUAGCUCAGAGAAUCUCUGAAAAAGAUCUCUAGAAAAAUCUCUAGAAAAGACAAGGAAACAGAUUAUCCCCUAGAGCCUCCAGAAGGACUCUCGCCCUAUUUCCAGCACGGGUGUACCCAACAUGGUUCUCACUGGAAUUACAGCAAAUUGGAAGACAGUGGUGGUGACACAGGGUGAAGAACUACUUUUCAGAGGGUGAAACACAAGACUGGCUUUUAGGAAUUUUCCCCCAAAGUAAUUUGUGACUGGAUCCUGUUGCCGAAACUUGGCCUCUGUUCACCGGUGCCGAAGAGGAACGCGGAGACAGAGUUUUGGGUGAAGUAGAAAAGAGUAGCUUUUAUUGCUUUGCCAGGCAGAGGGGGCCACGGCGGGCUAAUGCCCUCAAGACUGUGUGACCCACCCUGGAGGGCGUAGUGAGGAGUCUUACAGCGUCCGAGGAGCAGGGCGUGAUCAGCUCGCGGACAGUUCUCAGACUGGCUGGCAUCAAGGGGAAGUUUCAAGCGUCAUCAACUUUCUGGUUUCUGGUUUCAGCCAGUCCAGGGUCUAUGUGCUUGUGGGCAGCACUUUCCAUCUGGAGGGGGUCUGCUCCCUGUAAAACCACUUAGGAGUGUGUGUCAGGCCUUUAUCUGUAGCUUCAGUGAACUGGGAGUUCGGUGAUUCCGCCAUGUGGCGGAUUUAGAGUCUAAAUUGUUGCCCGUUCCCCAGCCCAACAGCUGUUCUUUGUUUCUACACCUUCACAUUCCCUAAUCAUUAAGUCUUUACUUCAAAAGACAAGGACACGGGGGCUCGUACACGGUUUCAACCCUGACCAGGUCUGAGACUUAACACGAUGCAUAUGCUGUUGUUUUCAUAAACGUUAACGUCCAUAAAAUGAAGUUCUUAAAAGCA